GAAGAAAUUGGGCGAAGCCUGAUGCAGCCAUGCCGCGUGUAUGAAGAAGGCCUUCGGGUUGUAAAGUACUUUCAGCGGGGAGGAAGGCGACAGGGUUAAUAACCCUGUCGAUUGACGUUACCCGCAGAAGAAGCACCGGCUAACUCCGUGCCAGCAGCCGCGGUAAUACGGAGGGUGCAAGCGUUAAUCGGAAUUACUGGGCGUAAAGCGCACGCAGGCGGUCUGUCAAGUCGGAUGUGAAAUCCCCGGGCUCAACCUGGGAACUGCAUUCGAAACUGGCAGGCUAGAGUCUUGUAGAGGGGGGUAGAAUUCCAGGUGUAGCGGUGAAAUGCGUAGAGAUCUGGAGGAAUACCGGUGGCGAAGGCGGCCCCCUGGACAAAGACUGACGCUCAGGUGCGAAAGCGUGGGGAGCAAACAGGAUUAGAUACCCCGGUAGUCC
rnacentral:rRNA from 1 species